rnacentral:rRNA from 1 species
UACGUAGGAGGCAAACGUUAUUCGGAUUUACUGGGCGUAAAGCGGGUGUAGACGGCUUCUUAAGUCGGGUGUGAAAUCUCUUGACUCAAUCAGGAGAGGACAUUCGAUACUAAGAGACUUGAGGGCAGCAGAAGAAGACGGAAUUCCCGGUGUAGCGGUGAUAUGCGUAGAUAUCGGGAGGAACACCAGUGGCGAAGGCGGUCUUCUAGGCUGUUCCUGACGUUGAGACCCUAAAGCGUGGGGAGCGAAACGGAUUAGAUACCCCCGUA